rnacentral:tRNA from 1 species
GGGCCUAUAGUCUAACGGUAGGAUACGACCUUCGCAUGGUUGAGAUCCGGGUCCGAUUCCCGGUGGGUCCA